CCAAUAGCGUAUAUUAAAGUUGUUGCAGUUAAAAAGCUCGUAGUUGAAUUUCGGGGUCAGUAGGUUGGUCAUGCCACUGGUAUGUACUGAUCUUACUGAUUCCUCCUUCCUGAUGAACCGUAAUGCCAUUAAUUUGGUGUUGCGGGGAGCCUGGACUGUUACUUUGAAAAAAUUAGCGUGUUUAAAGCAGGCUAACGCUUGAAUACAUUAGCAUGGAAUAAUGAAAUAGGACGUUCGAUCCUAUUUUGUUGGUUUCUAGGAUAGACGUAAUGAUUAAUAGGGAUAGUUGGGGGCAUUAGUAUUCAAUUGUCAGAGGUGAAAUUCUUGGAUUUAUUGAAGACUAACUACUGCGAAAGCAUUUGCCAAGGAUGUUUUCAUUAAUCAAGAACGAAAGUUAGGGGAUCGAAGACGAUCAGAUACCGUCGUAGUCUUAACCAUAAACUAUGCCGACUAGGGAUCGGAUGAUGUUAAUUUUUUAAUGACUCAUUCGGCGCCUUACG
rnacentral:rRNA from 1 species